UACAGAGGGUGCGAGCGUUGUCCGGAAUCACUGGGCGUAAAGGGCGCGUAGGUGGCGCUGCAAGUCGGUGGUGAAAGCUCGAUGCUUAACAUCGAGUCGGCCAUCGAAACUGCAGGGCUGGAGCACUGUAGGGGCAGAUGGAAUUCCGAGUGUAGAGGUGAAAUUCGUAGAUAUUCGGAAGAACACCAGUGGCGAAGGCGGCUCACUGGUCCGGUACUGACGCUGAGGUGCGAAAGCGUGGGGAGCAAACAGG
rnacentral:rRNA from 1 species